GAGUUUGAUCUUGGCUCAGAUUGAACGCUGGCGGCAUGCCUUACACAUGCAAGUCGAACGGCAGCAUGAUCUAGCUUGCUAGAUUGAUGGCGAGUGGCGAACGGGUGAGUAAUACAUCGGAACGUGCCCUGUAGUGGGGAUAACUAGUCGAAAGAUUAGCUAAUACCGCAUACGACCUGAGGGUGAAAGUGGGGGACCGCAAGGCCUCAUGCUAUAGG
rnacentral:rRNA from 1 species